AUUGAACGCUGGCGGCAGGUUUAACACAUGCAAGUCGAGCGGGGAAGGGUAGCUUGCUACCUAACCUAGCGGCGGACGGGUGAGUAAUGCUUAGGAAUCUGCCUAUUAGUGGGGGACAACAUUCCGAAAGGAAUGCUAAUACCGCAUACGCCCUACGGGGGAAAGCAGGGGAUCUUCGGACCUUGCGCUAAUAGAUGAGCCUAAGUCGGAUUAGCUAGUUGGUGGGGUAAAGGCCUACCAAGGCGACGAUCUGUAGCGGGUCUGAGAGGAUGAUCCGCCACACUGGGACUGAGACACGGCCCAGACUCCUACGGGAGGCAGCAGUGGGGAAUAUUGGACAAUGGGGGGAACCCUGAUCCAGCCAUGCCGCGUGUGUGAAGAAGGCCUUUUGGUUGUAAAGCACUUUAAGCGAGGAGGAGGCUACCGAGAUUAAUACUCUUGGAUAGUGGACGUUACUCGCAGAAUAAGCACCGGCUAACUCUGUGCCAGCCGCCGCCGUAAUAC
rnacentral:rRNA from 1 species